GGAGCUCGAUACUGUUUUUUGAUCUUGUAUGUCGAUGACAUAUUGUUGAUCGGGUAUGAUGUUUCGAUGCUGAAAUCGGUCAGGGAGUCAUUGAAUGGCAAGUUUUCAAUGAAGGACCUUGGUGAGGCAGUGUAUAUUUUAGGCAUUAAGAUCUAUAGAGAUAGCUCGAGGAGGCUGCUCGGAUUAAGCCAGAGCACGUACAUAGAUAAAGUGUUGAAGCAGUUCAACAUGAGUGAGGCGAAGAGAGGGUUCUUGCCACACUCACAUGGUAUAAGGCUAAGUGAGACUCAGAGUCCUUCGACAUCUGAUGAGCGAAGCAAGAUAAGUAGGAUUUCGUAUGCAUCGGCAAUCAGAUCCAUCAUGUAUGCCAUGAUAUGUACAAGGCCUGAUGUUGCUUUUGCAAUAAGCCUAACAAGCAGAUACCAGGCCAACCCAGGUGAGAGUCAC
rnacentral:rRNA from 1 species